UUGGAAGUGGAAGAAUAGGAGCGAUGGAGCAGCCGGCCAUGGCGUACAGCACCGGCGGAUGGAACGAUCGAUGGUAUGCGCCAAGCAGCAGCCCGGAGAGCCCCCCGCCAGGUAUCCAGCGGCAUCACAGCCACCGUCAUCACUACGGCAAGGAUCGCCACAGCACGGACUCGGACUCGGAUCAUCACCACCACAGACACGACCGCGGCGGCUCCGUGGAGAACCAGGGCUCGGCGGAGGGUAAGAAGAGGAGGAGCCGAUGGGAGCCCCAGCCGGAAUCCACCGGGGAAGAGGGCGGCGGCCAAAAUCCCCAGCAAAGCCAGCAGCAGCAGCUGCAACUCAUCGAUCCGCAGCGGCCGCCCGGCGGCGAUGGCAGCGGCGCCGCCGCCCCCAAGAAGAGGAAGUCGCGAUGGGCCGCGGAGGAGCCCAAGACGCUACUGGCCAAUGUGAAUUUGUCGAACUUCCCGACGAUCGAGUGGGAUCCCGAGAUGCAAGCGCUCAAUAUCAAGGUGUUGGAGCUCAACCGGAGGCUCCAAAUGGGACAGCUCUACGACGACCGGCCCGACAUGCCGAGGUCUCCAUCUCCGGAGCCCAUCUACGACAACAUGGGCAUUAGGAUCAACACAAGGGAAUAUCGAGCUCGCGAGAAGCUGACGAAGGAGCGUCACGAGCUCAUCUCCGAGAUGAUAAAGAAGAACCCACACUUCAAGCCGCCACCCGACUACAAACCUCCGAAGCUCCAAAAGAAGCUCUACAUCCCGUCGAAGGAGUACCCGGGGUACAACUUCAUAGGACUCAUCAUCGGGCCUCGCGGGAACACGCAGAAGAGGAUGGAGAAGGAGACUGGAGCGAAGAUCGUGAUCCGCGGGAAAGGGUCUGUGAAAGAAGGAAGAACGCACCAGAAGAGGGACGUGAAGCCGGAUCCGUCCGAGAACGAGGACUUGCACGUCCUGGUGGAGGCGGACACCGAGGAGGCGCUGGAGGCGGCGGCUGGGAUGGUGGAGAAGCUCCUCCAGCCGGUAGAGGAGGGGCGGAACGAGCACAAGCGAGCACAGUUGCGAGAGCUGGCGGCGCUGAACGGGACGAUCCGGGACGACGAGAGCUGCCGCCAGUGUGGACAGCUCGGGCACCGGCAGUACUGCUGUCCGGAGAAGAGCACGACUUUCAAGGCUGGGGUGGUGUGCGCGAAGUGUGGCGACGGCGGCCACCCGACGAGCGAUUGCACGCAGCAGGGACCGGCGGUGAACAAGAUGGACGGGGAGUACCAGAAGUUCCUGGUGGAGGUGAACGCCGACGGUAGCGGCGGUGGCGGCGACGCCAGCGUCGGCCGCCACACCGGGCCGACUUUGCUUCUCGGGGGACCGAGUGGUGCUCCGGGGGGCCUGACGGCGAAGCCCAAGGACGAUGAUACGAACCUCUACGUGGGCUACUUGCCGGCGACGUACGAUGACGAGUCCUUGAAGCGGCUCUUCUCGUCGUUUGGACAGAUCGAGGAGGUGAAAGUGAUCAAGGACCGAACCACCGGCGCGAGCAAAGGCUACGGGUUCGUCAAGUUCACGGACCCGGCGGCGGCGAGCCAGGCGGUGUUUAGCAUGAACGGGUGGAAGAUCGAGGACAAGACGCUGGCGGUGAGGAUCGCUGGCCGGCCCCCGGCUCCAGGCGCCCCGGCGGCGUAUGGAAUGGAUGGAAGUGGCGGCGGUGGAGCCUAUACGGCGUUUCCUCGGCCACCCGGGUCCAUGGCGGCGCCACCACCGUGGGGUCCCGGCCCGCCGCCACCUUUCAAUCCUUACGCCGCUCAGUACCCGCUGGCCCCACCGGGGACGGUCCCUCCGCCACCCUUCAACGCGUUCCCGCCGCCGGGGGUGUACGCGGUGGAUCCAGCGCCGCCGCCGCCGGGUUUCUCCCCGCCGCCAGCGUCGCAAGAGUCGCAGGGAGCGGCGUCGCAGGGGUCGGAGUUCUCGGGCUCUGCGUACCAUGGCUAUCCUCCGCAGUACUCUGGUGGCUACUACACUGGACCGCCGCCUCCGGCUGUUCCUCCGUGGGCCACGAAUGCCGCCGCGGCCGAGAACCCGCCGGCUAACCAGGUGGAGUCGGAGUACGAGCGGUUUAUGUCCGAGAUGAAGAUGAAGUAAGGCUCUCCAGGUAUGUGAUAUCUUACUCACUUCUCCGCAAUUUAUUUUUUCGUUUCGCUUACUUGGAUUUUUUAUUUUUUCUCGUGCCAUGGUUUGAUUCUUGUGCUGAUCUUGUUGUUGCUGCUAACGCCGUGCUAACUUCAACACAGUGUCGUUUUUUUUUGUUUGAAUCUGCGCAGGCUGAUGAUAGUGAUGAUGAUGAAUUUGUGUUGUUUUACUAGCGCUACGCUGUCAACAAAGAAAAGAGAGAAAGACCAAAGUGGUGGUGGGCAUGGUGGACAUGGCGCUUCUAACGAGUUUGAGAUUCGAGAAUUCUUUCCAGAGGUUUUUUCUUUAAAGUUUUUCCUUUCAUAAUCGUCUACUACAAUGGUAUGACGCUUCUAAGGCUGUGAGUGAUUAGCUUUCUCGCUGUGCUGUGCUAAUCCUUUCCAUGUUGUGUCUAACCUUGUACAGAGAAUGCUCCCUUUUUUUUUCUUUUUUUUUUCUUUUUCUGGGUUGUAGCUAAACCAUAGUUUUUUGUGUAUUGUCACCGAUGCUUGCUUGCAGCGCAGAUCUUUCCAGCCGAAAGCACGCUGAAUCAAUGAACCAACGAAAGUGGGUUGGAAAAGUGCCGCUGUAGUAGACAUUUCUUUCUGGGUGAUCCGCACGGGAGGAAAAUUACAACUUGAUUUAGGGUACUAGUUCUACUUUAAAGAAAAGGUAAAAAAGGUAUAGGUAUAUCAAAACCAAAAUUGCUUAGAAAUGUAAACGCUUGAUUUCAAUCCUCUUA